rnacentral:rRNA from 1 species
AAUGAACGUUGGCGACGUGGAUUAGGCAUGCAAGUCGUUCGCUCCGCGAGGGGCGAGGCGCAAGGGUGAGUAAGGCGACGACAACCAACCCCGAGGGUGGGCAUAGCCGCGGGAAACUGCGGGUAAUUCCCAGCGAAGUCGGAGGGUGGCAUCAUCCACCGACCAAAGGUGCGAUAUCCGCCUCGGGACGGGUCGUCGUGGUAUCAGCUUGUUGGCGGGGUAACGGCCCACCAAGGCUAAGACGCCUACCGGGCGUGCGAGCGUGGCCCGGCACACUGGGACUGAGACACUGCCCAGACACCUACGGGUGGCUGCAGUCGAGAAUCUUCGGCAAUGGGCGCAAGCCCGACCGAGCGACGUCGCGUGGAGGAUGAAGGCCUUCGGGUUGUAAACUCCUGUCGAGGGGGAACAAGGGCCGGUGGAGAGCCGGACUUGAGUGAUCCCUGGAGGAAGCACGGGCUAAGUUCGUGCCAGCAGCCGCGGUAACAC